GGGGAUAACAAUUAGAAAUGAUUGCUAAUACCGCAUAAGACCCCAGUACCGCAUGGUACAGAGGUAAAAACUGAGGUGGUGUAAGAUGGGCCCGCGUCUGAUUAGGUAGUUGGUGGGGUAGAAGCCUACCAAGCCGACGAUCAGUAGCCGACCUGAGAGGGCGACCGGCCACAUUGGGACUGAGACACGGCCCAAACUCCUACGGGAGGCAGCAGUGGGGAAUAUUGCACAAUGGGGGAAACCCUGAUGCAGCGACGCCGCGUGAGUGAGGAAGUAUUUCGGUAUGUAAAGCUCUAUCAGCAGGGAAGAAAAUGACGGUACCUGACUAAGAAGCCCCGGCUAACUACGUGCCAGCAGCCGCGGUAAUACGUAGGGGGCAAGCGUUAUCCGGAUUUACUGGGUGUAAAGGGAGCGUAGACGGAUAAGCAAGUCUGAUGUGAAAAUCCGGGGCCCAACCCCGGAAUUGCAUUGGAAACUGCAUAUCUAGAGUGUCGGAGAGGCAAGUGGAAUUCCUGGUGUAGCGGUGAAAUGCGUAGAUAUCAAGAGGAACACCAGUGGCUAAGGCGGCUUGCUGGA
rnacentral:rRNA from 1 species